rnacentral:rRNA from 1 species
UACGUAGGGGGCGAGCGUUGUCCGGAUUCAUUGGGCGUAAAGAGCUCGUAGGCGGCUUGGCAAGUCGGAUGUGAAAACUCCAGGCUCAACCUGGAGCCGCCAUUCGAUACUGCUAUGGCUAGAGUCCGGUAGGGGAGUGUGGAAUUCCCGGUGUAGCGGUGAAAUGCGCAGAUAUCGGGAGGAACACCAGUGGCGAAGGCGGCUUUCUGGCCUGUUCUUGACGCUGAGGCGCGAAAGCUAGGGGAGCGAACGGG